UCUAAGCAUAUUUUUCUAAUUUCCAAUUUAUCCAAUACACUUUGCGUACGUACCUACUUCUCGGUAAUCAGGCGCAAACGUGCUUGCAUUUUACAAUGCGCGGGCGAACCGAUACAAACUUACAAGUUGACACUAUUUACCAGUACUCACACAAUCAUGCUAUUUACCAUAUAAGCAUCUGUUGAUUUUGAAAGAUCAUCAAGUGUGCAAAGAUGCCCGAAUUGAGGAGACGCCUGAGGAGCAACGCCGAAAAUUUCGUGCAAAGUGACGGACUUUACGUGCAUUCAAAUCCACCAAGGGCUUUACAGAUUAAUUCCGCCUACAUAAAGCAGUUGAUACGCAAUGGCGAUAUUGAAAAACUGCAAAACUUGGUGAUUGAAGGACAGGGAAAAAGACUGAUUGGAGGCUACUCCGCCGAUUACAAAACGCGCGCCUUUCUCAAAACCGUGCCUAAUACUAUAUCCAAAAUUAACUUAUUGCACGACGCUGUUAACAGCGGAAGGCUGGAAGAGCUCGAGGCGCUUUUAGACGAGGAACCCGAUCGGAGACGGCUUAUUUUGGCAAAGGACGACGCAGGUGUCUGCCUCCUCCACAAGGCAGUCUACUACAAUCUCACGGACAUCAUCAAGUGGAUCAUCGCAAACUAUCCCCAAGCCGCAACGUCCAAAGACUCGGAAGGACGCACCCCUUGCCACUACACCCCCGCCUGCAAGGAACCAGAAGCCAUACAGAAACUUCUAACGAACGCCGGUGCCGACAUUUCGGCCGUCGACAACAAACAACGCACCACCCAGUAUUACAUGUCGCACGCAUCGGAAUUGGAACUGCCGAGCGUACACAAAAUCUCAAAAAGUCCGAGAAAAAGUACGCCAUGUAAUGAAGGUGUCGUCAUUAAAAAGUCGAACAUACGAAUAUGGAUCCAUCAAAGAGAUUUGGGCAAUUUGCAGAAAGUUGUAUGGGAAGGACACGGAGCUAAAUUAUUAGUGGAGCACAGUACCAAUCACAAGGUGAAGAAGUUUUUGGAAGCUGUGCCGCCUAUUUUGGGAUUAAUUAAGGACAUUCACACGGACGUCGUCAAUGACGAUUUAGAGCAAUUACAAACGCACAGUAGCUCCCCGGUUCCUCCAGUUAUACUAUCAGCAAAAGAUAUUAAUGGACUGUCACCUCUACAUAAGGCUGCCGGAUUAGGCUACCAAGGUAUUGCGGAAUACAUAGUGGAAAACUACCCUCUUAGCGUUAAUAUCACCGACAACGACGGCCGAACGCCGUUGCAUUUCGCAACGCUAGCGAAAGACGAUGGGAAAAUGUUCGACUAUUUAAUUGGAGCAGGGGCGGACGAAUCCUUGCUCGACAACAAGCAGAAAACAGCGGCUUACUACAAACAGCGCUCUUCAGAAAUUGACAGCAAGCUACUGCACGUCAUUCCAGAAUGUCCCCGUACAGCAAAGGAAGGAUUCGCUCCAACUUGGGAUUGGAGCGCACUCGCCAAUGUGGAGAUCAUCUCAAAACCUGUAAGAAAAGUAAUAGAAUUAAUAAAGAAACCCUCAGAAGAGAGUCACGAAGCUGAAAAACAAACGACUGAAGUUCCCGAAAAUGAAAACAAAGAAGUCAAAGAAAACGGGACGGAAAAGGAACCCCCCGCGGUGCCGGAUCCCGAACCGGAACCCGAACCAGACCCCGUACCUGAACCCGAAGUUGUUGUAGCCGAAUCAAUACCGGAUGUUGCUAAUCAUCUGGUCGAAACUGUGAUAGAUGACGUCAUAGCGAAUGGUGACAUUAAUGAUGACGUCGAGGAUGCGAAUCCCAAGGAAGAGAGCGAACCUGAGGAAGACGACGACGGUACCUUACACGAGCCCAUAACUGAAAGUGAAGAUGUUGAAGUUUUACCUGCAGAUGAAACAGCACCAGCUCUACCCGAAAUAGUGCCCACUCUUAGCCCUGAAAUUGUAAUGGACAAAGAGGAAGAGGCCCCCGCCGAAAUUGUCGCAGAACAAACGCGCGUGGACACGCCGAAGCCUGUCACUCCAGCCCCUCCACCCACUCCAGCCCCGCGAGCCACUCCAGCACCUCCAGUCACUCCAGCCCCUCCAGCCGCACCAGCCUUAGAAGCAAAAGAAGAAAUGAAAGUUGUUGACGAAGGCGUAGGCGUAAUUGAAGGUAUUGUAAAUGGGGAAAACGAAGUUGAAUCAGUCAACGAACAAGGACAAGGAGUGGAGGAUAAAGAGGACGACCCGGAGAUACUGGCCCUGAUCGAGGAGGGUAACAUGGAACAACUGGCCGCGCUCGUUUUAAAUGGGGACGGAGAAAAACUUAUUGGAUACCAUUCCGAUAAUCCGGAACUGCAAGCGUUUCUGGAUAAUGUCCCCACGUAUAUGUCCAAGAUUAACCGGAUACACGUCGCGGCCAAGGAUGGAAGCCUAAGGGACUUACAGGCGGCGCUGGACAGGCGCAAGUUCGCAAUUGCCAAAGAUCACAUUUCUCCAAAUGGCACGUCGCCCCUGCACGUUGCCACCAUCUUUGGAAACACGAGCAUCGUGCGGUACCUGGCGGGUCGAUUUCCCGAAACGGUCCUCGCGGUGGACAACAACGAUCGAACACCCUUACACUACGCAGCCGUCUUAGACGACAACAACCACUACUUCAACCUGCUCAUCCACCUCGGCUCCAACCCCAAGGCCGAGGACAAGUUUGGACAUACCCCCGAGUUUUACCGCACAGAUCGAGAGGAGUUCUCCCAUCGAAUUUUACUGUGCGAAUUCGGAGCGGAAGACGUGGCCGACGACAUAAUACACGAUAAAGUUCCCAAUGACGACUGUUCGGCUAGAAAAAAUUUGGACGACGCCGAUAUGUUGGCGGUCUUGGAACGUUGCUACAACCUUUUGCACGGGAGAAGAAGCUCUAACGCCAUAUCGGCCGCCUCGCGUUUGACCAGCCUAUCUGACAUUUCCACCUCGUCCGUGUCCAGCAAGCACAUGAAACGAUACGUUUUUGACGCAGUAAAGCUGCGCCUUACAAAGCUCGAUCACAACUUCUACGACAUCAUAUGGCCCAGCGUGAAGAAACUACCGGUCGAAAGAGAAUUCAGGAUAGCGUUAGAAAAAGAUUUCCCGCUGGGAGUUGUUGUGCCAGACUAUUACUCGUAUUGCGUUUUUCGCGAGUACCUGGAGCCGGUAAUCAAAGACGCGAAUUUUAUUUGCAUCAAUUCCGAGCUGAAAGAUCACCCCGAGACCCAAUUUUUCGAGGCGGACGAUGUGAGCGAUUUCGACUUGGACUUAGAUCCGUUCGCGAAAUGUAUAGUGACCAGCACGUUGGAAUGCACCAGAAACGUUGAGGGUUUUGAGUUGCCCAAGUCUUUAAACGUCAACGAGUUGGAGGAAGUCGAACGGAUUUUAACUUCCGUGCUGUUAGAUUGCGAAAUGGCGAAAGCUCUGUAUCCUAACGCCACGGAGGAAGAUCUUAAAGAACGAGGCAGUGGGAAUUACUACACCAUGAACGAGGUUCUCGAGGAUCCGUCGGAAAUUCGCGUGGUACUAGCAGCUAAUGGUCUUCUGAUUCCCUUGUGGGAUAUUCCCGAUUCGGAUCGGCUGCACGGUAAGCACUGGCCGUACGGGAGAGGGGUCUUCGUGAGCAGCAGCGGAAAUCUGGCCGCGUGGAUUAACGUCUUGGACCACUUGCGCAUUGUGACUUGUACAUCGGCUCAAAAACCCGGAAACGUUGGACAGAUAUACUUUCGAGUUUACAGACUGCUGAACGCGAUUAACGGGAGUGUCAGCUUUAAGAAGGACCCGAAGCUCGGGUACCUUUCAGCUCGACCAACCUCUUUGGGUAACACCCUACACUUUAACCUAACGGUUCGCUUCCCGCAUCUCAUCAAGGAGCCGGAGAAUCUGCGACACUUGUGCACUACACGCAACUUGACCUACAGCAAAUGCGACAACUCGUCGGAUGCCGUUCGAAUUGGCAACCGACAAAGCGUCGGUCUGACCGAGAUGCAAACUUUCGAAGAUCUCACCACGGCUGUCGGUAACAUUCUUCAACUGGAGAAAGACCUCGCGAUGUCAAAUUCAUUGCACAUCGCCGCGCUGUUCGUUAACAUAUUUCGAAAGAAAAAGGCCGGACUGUUGAAUUCUGCUUAACGUAUUAGCCUUAGUUUUAGUAUUGUACAUAAUACUUGUGUAAAUAGUGCCAAAAGUUUCCUCACUUUUUAUUUCUAUCUAUUCACGAAAUGGAUGGACUUAAAACAAUCUUUAGAUAAGUCCACGAACAAUGUUCAAGUAGAUAUGCCAUUUUUCUACACGGAAGAAGGAAGAUAUCUAGCAUCUU